rnacentral:lncRNA from 1 species
AAGUGUAAAAAUAAAUCACAUUCAGUCUCGAGAAUCCAGUGCGUUACUUUUUUGGGGGGUCGGGGUGGGAGGUGGUGUCUCAGCUGGGACGUACUGCACCCUCCACAACACGUUGGAAAGCAGGUCCUGGUACACACUAAGGAAUAUCCAACCAGGCAAAUACAUCAGGGUAAUGAGGCCCAUGAAGUUGAGUGGGUAGUGAGAGUAGUCCCAAGAACAAGCCCCGCACAUGCGAAGCCCCAGCCCCCAGGACAGUUCCCACGCGUAGAUGAAGAUCACGUAGAUGGGCACCCGCUUCCACGUGCCCCAACCGCGGCUGUAGUAGAGGUAGAAGUAGAGCUUCUCCACCACGAAACUGCAGCUGCCGUACAUGAGGAAAGACCAGAGCGACGUGUGGCCGGUGGUCGCCUUGUCCCCCUGCCCCAGCACGUUGAAGAAGAAGGUGAAGAAGAUCUCAUCCAGAAAGCCGUGCAUUCCGAAGAACAGAAAGCGGAGCGGGUCCGGCAGCCCCUGGCGGGGGCCGCCUCCUGCAUCCGGGGGGCCUCGGGUCGCGCAGGAAGCUCCGUCUCUGCCGCGCUUUGGCGGCAGCAGGACGUGGUGCGUUCCGGGGAUGCGCGGGCCGCCUGGCUGGCGGAGUCCCCACGCCUUGGCCCCGCUGCGUCCUCCCUUCCAGUCCCGGCCAGGUGCCGCGGGCCGGCGCCCGCGCUCACCCUGCGCGGCCUAGCGGGCGCCGCGGACAGGCGAGAGGAGGCGGCGCCGGGGCUGCGAGGGGAAAGGCAGAGGCUGGUACCAGCCCCAUCCCCUGGGCGGCUCAGCCUCGCCGCUUCUGCCGCAGGCUCUGGCAGCGUAAUGCCAGCAGCGACGGCCCUGCCCCCGGCCCUGCCCAUGCCCCUCUCCGCCCGUCUCGACCUCGCCCGUCCUCCCUGGUCUCCUCCCCGUCCCAGCCUUCCGCGCCGAGUCGCGGGAGGGUCUGCUCUGGGUGCCGAACUCUGCUGCUUCUCAGCACCCCGCCGCCGGCCGUGCGGGGGCCGCUGGCUGUGGGGAGGCGGGGAGCGGAGAAACACCUGUUAG